GACAGAGGGUGCAAACGUUGUUCGGAUUUACUGGGCGUAAAGCGCGUGUAGGCGGCUUUGCAAGUCGGAGGUGAAAGCCCACGGCUCAACCGUGGAAGUGCAUCCGAAACUGCAUGGCUUGAGUCUCGGAGAGGAAGGUGGAAUGCUUGGUGUAGAGGUGAAAUUCGUAGAUAUCAAGCAGAACACCUGCGGCGAAGGCGGCCUUCUGGACGAUGACUGACGCUGAGACGCGAAAGCGUGGGGAGCAAACAGG
rnacentral:rRNA from 1 species